rnacentral:rRNA from 1 species
AAAAAAAAAAAAGAGGAGCUGCCCUUAGUACGAGAGGACCGGGGUGGACGUACCUCUGGUGUAUCAGUUGUUCCGCCAGGAGCAUCGCUGGGUAGCUAUGUUUGGAUGAGAUAAACGCUGAAAGCAUCUAAGUGUGAAACUCGCCUCGAGAUGAGAUUUCCCAUUCUUUAUGAAGUAAGACCCCUUAGAGAUGAUGAGGUAGAUAGGCUAGAAGUGGAAGUACAGUGAUGUAUGUAGCGGACUAGUACUAAUAGGUCGAGGACUUAACCAA